AAGUCGUAACAAGGUUUCCGUAGGUGAACCUGCGGAAGGAUCAUUAACACUAUCCAAUACCUCUUUUACAAACCAAAAAACAAAGAAACGUGGGGUUUCUUUUUGUACGAACCGGUGGCCGUGUAUGUAUAGCGUUCUUUGGGUUCACAUUUAUGAAUUUAUUUGUUUUUCCCAUCCGCUAUGCAUUUGCACAUAUAUAUCUUUUUCCUUUUCAUAUAUACGCAUUUGACCCUUUUUUAACAAAGGAAAAAAAUUAAAAAAAACAAAUGAAAUGAAUGGUUGAUUGGCUUAUAUAAAUAAGAUAAAAAAUGACACAACUCUUAGCAACGGAUAUCUUGGUUCUCGC
rnacentral:misc_RNA from 1 species